GACGAACUGUGCGAACGUUAUUCGGAAUCACUGGGCUUACAGGGUGCGUAGGCGGCCACGUAAGUAGGGUGUGAAAUCCCCCGGCCCAACCGGGGAACUGCGCUCUAAACUACAUGGCUUGAGUGAGCUAGGGGUCCACGGAACUUCCAGUGGAGCGGUGAAAUGUGUUGAUAUUGGAAGGAACACCGGAGCCGAAAGGGGUGGACUGGGGCUCAACUGACACUGAGGCACGAAAGCCAGGGUAGCGAACGGG
rnacentral:rRNA from 1 species